rnacentral:rRNA from 1 species
UUGGGUGGCAGACCAAUGCUUCGGUGCGGAAAGCAAAUCGCUAUUAUGUCAUCCCCAGCGUGGGGGAGUACGUCGCAAAGAAAUGAAACUCAAAGGAUGACGGGACCCGCACAAGCGGGUGGAGCAUGUGUUUAAUCGACGCACGCGAAGAACCUUACCAGGCCCUGACAUCUGCUGGCCCAUCCGGGUAACGCCGGGACUCCCUUCGGGGCAGCAGAGACAGGUGGUGCAUGGUUGUCGUCAGCUCGUGCCGUGAGGUGUCGGCUUAAGUGCCAUAACGAGCGCAACCCCUUUCCGCCGGUUACCAUCGGGUCAUGCCGGGGACUCCGGCGGCACUGCCGCCGCAAGGCGCGAGGAAGGCGGGGAUGACGUCAAAUCAGCACGGCCCUUACGUCCGGGGCCACACACGUGUUACAAUGGGGGGCACAAGCGAGCUGGACCAGGGCGACCUGGUUCGAAUCAUGAAAUCCCCUCCCAGUUCGGACCGGAGUCUGCAACCCGACUCCGCGAAGCCGGAUUCGCUAGUAAUCGCGCAUCAGCCAUGGCGCGGUGAAUACGUUCCCGGGCCUUGUACACACCGCCCGUCAAGCCAUGAAAGCCUGGGGCGCCUGAAGUCCGUUGCCGCGAGGCGCGGCCGAGGGCGAUACAGGUGAUUGGGGCUAAGUCGUAACAAGGUA